AUGGAGCUGCGGCUGAUGCUGAAUCGGACCACAUCCUGUGCCAGGAUGGGGAGGAGCCUUCGAAGACUCCCUUUGACCCAGGCUACAGAGACCACUCUCUCCUGGAACCACCCCAGGGGGUGCCAAACCGAAGAGCCUCACACUGCAGGAGCCCAGCCGAAUGCCAGCCGCCUGGAGGCCUCGGGAGGCAUCUGGCUUCUGCUCUCCACUUCCUUUCUCGCUUCCUUUCACCCUGAAGGGGAGUCACAGAUGUGCUUGGUUUCCGGCCUGUGCUCCUCCAGGACUCCAAACCUGGGUGCCUGUGCGCAAGGCACUGCUAAGUGACUGAGUCCGAACUCAGUGUAGAUGAGAUGCACGCGACAUGGCCCAGCCCAGCGGGCCCAGUGCUGAGCAGGGACACUGCUCAGACGGAUGCGUGUCACCCCAGAUACUCUCACAGCCCCUGCCCCUCCGAGCGCAGUGGAGCCUCGCGCCCAGCAGCCCCCACCCACCCUCUGUGCUCUGAGGACUCCUCACUAAGAAGACCUUGAAGGGCAAAACGGACACAUGCGGGAACUGUCUGAGGCUGCCAGGGCCACAAGCUCCUGUCCUCUUGACCUUGCAGCCUAGUGAGGGCGCUGUGAGCACGGGUUCGUCUCCUGUUCAAGGGAACUGGACUUCCCCGGGUCCCAUUUCAGGGACACAGCCAGAAGUUGCCUUCCUUUUCUGUCUUCAAGGUUCACGUUCAAAAGCAGCCCACUUGCCUGAGCUGGGGCUGAGGGAAUGUCUAAUCUUAGCAGGAAAAUUCACAUUUAUCAUAUGCAGAUGACCAGUUUAGAAGAGAAGACAGCAGCAGUGGAAAUAUCUCGGGGACCUCUUCAAGGGAUUAACUCAACCGACUGUGGAAUGUCAGAGCCUUGCCACUGAGAGCCAGCUCCGAACGCAUUUCUCCGUCUCGAACUCAAGUGACUCUUAGAAAGGGGUCACAGCAGAGAGCACACACACAGAGCGGUUGUGUAUCCGGGGAGACUGGCAUGUCUGACUGUUAUCAACGCAAUGGUCAUAUGAUUGCUUGAUAGACAAGAUCAGGCUAACGGCGGGCCUCGCCUCUUGGUCACUCUGAGACUUUAGACCUCACCCGGGCAUUGCCACGGCCAAAGUUUACUGGGAUUAUGUGCUGAGGUCACCUGAGCCAGGAACUGAUCCAGGAAGCAGAGACUAAGCCAUCUGCUGGGCAGCCCAUGGCUCCAGCCGCAACAUCACCGUCAAAACAACGUCACGGACAUGCCUGGAAUUUGUGAUCAAAAGGUGCUCCGAGCAUGCUAAGGCUCUGCCACAAUCCCAG
rnacentral:lncRNA from 1 species